rfam:Bacillus cereus Rock4-18 chromosome, whole genome shotgun sequence.
UGGGCAGUAUCAGAGCGAACUGCACCAUGAUUCGAAGCAGUACAAAAAAUAAUAACUUGGAUUCUGCCUUGAUCCAAUAACGGACUGGGACAGAGGG